GGAUUAGAUACCCUGGUAGUCCACGCCGUAAACGAUGUCAACUAGUUGCUUGUGGCUUUUACGCUGUGGGUGACGGAGCUAACGCAUUAAGUUGACCGCCUGGGGAGUACGGCCGCAAGGUUAAAACUCAAAUGAAUUGACGGGGGCCCGCACAAGCGGUGGAGCAUGUGGUUUAAUUCGAGGCAACGCGAAGAACCUUACCUACUCUUGACAUCCAGAGAACUUUCCAGAGAUGGAUUGGUGCCUUCGGGAACUCUGAGACAGGUGCUGCAUGGCUGUCGUCAGCUCGUGUCG
rnacentral:rRNA from 1 species